GGCUCGGUGGCGCAUGGCUGCGCAUCCGCUGUUCUUGGGCAUACUUGAAUGGGCUAUGCGGAAAGUCCCCGUUCGAUCCGGGGCCGGGCCA